UUUCCGUAGGUGAACCUGCGGAAGGAUCAUUAAAAAAUGUGGUACCAAUUGUUGGUACUAAUUAAUCAUCCUACCCUUUGUGAAUUUGUUUGUAACGAAUUUUUUUAAAUGGGUCUUUCCCUAAGUUGGAUUGUAGUAAAAUACAAAAAGACUUAGGGGAAUGACUUUUUUAAAAGACUUUUUUUUAAUUAAAACUUUUUGUAUUCAUUUGUCUAAAAUUUAUUUUUAUAAUAUAAAAACAACUUUUGACAAUGGAUCUCUUGGUUCUCGCAACGAUGAAGAACGCAGCAAAAUGCGGUAAGUAGUGUGAAUUGCAGAAUACGUGAAUCAUCGAAUCUUCGAACGCAUAUUGCACUUUUUUAGUUUACUAAAAAAGUAUGUCUGUUUGAGUAUCAGUAAAAUAUUCUCACAAAACAAUAUUGUUUUGUGGUUAUGAGUGUUUUACAACGAUAAACAAGUUGUUUCACUUUAAAUUCUUUUUAAUUGAAUUUUACCAAUUCAUAAAUUAAAAUUGGAUAAAAUUUUCCUUUAACGAGGAAUAACCUAAACAAUUUUAAAUUUUAUGGAUUAAUAAACAUUCAUCAAAGGAAUCUAAUUAUACAUAAAUAACUUGAUCUCAAAUCAGAUAAGAGUACCCGCUGAACUUAAGCAUAUCAAUAAGCGGAGGAAAAGAAACUAACAAGGAUUCCCUUAGUAACGGCGAGUGAAGCGGGAAGAGCUCAAAUUUGAAAUCUUCAAGGUUUGACCUUGACGAAUUGUAGUUUAUAGAAGUGUUUUCUGUUGGAGUUUUGGUAAAAGUUCUUUGGAAUAGGACAUCAUAGAGGGUGAGAAUCCCGUAUUUGACCAUGACUUUCCAGCUGUGUGAUACACUUUCAAAGAGUCGGAUUGUUUGGGAAUGCAGUCCAAAAUGGGUGGUAAAUUUCAUCUAAAGCUAAAUAUUGGCGAGAGACCGAUAGCGAACAAGUACCGUGAGGGAAAGAUGAAAAGAACUUUGAAAAGAGAGUUAAACAGUACGUGAAAUUGUCAAAAGGGAAGCGUUUGACACCAGUGUUGUUUUCUCGAAAAUCAAUUUAAUGAGUUCUUGUUUUUAAGUUAUUGUGACUUUAUCAGCGCAUUUCUUAUUUUACUUGACUCAUUGAAUGCACUUUUCGUUUAACAAGUCAACAUCAAUUUCUUUGGUGGUAAAAAGUUUAAAGGAAGGUGGCUUGGACUUCGGUUCAAGUGUUUAUAGCCUUUUUUCUAUGCCAUCGGAGAGAUUGAGGUCUGCAGCGUAGAUCCUUCGGGGUUAGAUACCUUUGUGCUAAGUUAUAGUUUUUUAUAGACAACUUGUUGACUAUAAUUAACCCUGUAAUUUACUCGCUUAGGCUAUUUUACCUACGCUUAGGAUGUUG
rnacentral:misc_RNA from 1 species